rnacentral:rRNA from 1 species
UACAGAGGUGGCAAGCGUUGUUCGGAAUUACUGGGCGUAAAGGGCGCGUAGGCGGCUUGGUCAGUCCCGUGUGAAAUCCCUCGGCUCAACUGAGGAACUGCACGGGAAACUGCCUGGCUUGAGUUCGGGAGAGGGAAGCGGAAUUCCGGGUGGUAGCGGUGAAAUGCGUAGAUAUCGAGAGGAACACCUGCGGCGAAGGCGGGUAGCUGGGCCGACACUGACGCUGAGGCGCGAAAGCCAGGGGAGCGAACGGG